GAUGAACGCUGGCGGCGUGCUUAACACAUGCAAGUCGAACGAAGCGCUUUGGAUAGAUUUCUUCGGAUUGAUAUCCUUAGUGACUGAGUGGCGGACGGGUGAGUAACGCGUGGGUAACCUGCCUCAUACAGGGGGAUAACAGUUAGAAAUGGCUGCUAAUACCGCAUAAGCGCACAGUACCACAUGGUACGGUGUGAAAAACUCCGGUGGUAUGAGAUGGACCCGCGUCUGAUUAGCUAGUUGGCAGGGUAACGGCCUACCAAGGCGACGAUCAGUAGCCGACCUGAGAGGGUGAACGGCCACAUUGGGACUGAGACACGGCCCAG
rnacentral:rRNA from 1 species